rnacentral:rRNA from 1 species
UUUUACAAUGGAGAGUUUGAUCCUGGCUCAGGAUGAACGCUAGCUACAGGCUUAACACAUGC